UUACGGCCAUGUCACGUUGAAACACCGAUUCCCGUACUGAAACCGAAGUUAAGCAACGUCGAACUUGGUCAGAACCUAGAUGGGUGACCGUUUGGGAAUACCAAGUGC